AAGUCGAACGCUUUGUGGUUCAACUGAUUUGAAGAGCUUGCUCAGAUAUGACGAUGGACAUUGCAAAGAGUGGCGAACGGGUGAGUAACACGUGGGAAACCUACCUCUUAGCAGGGGAUAACAUUUGGAAACAGAUGCUAAUACCGUAUAACAAUGACAACCGCAUGGUUGUUAUUUAAAAGAUGGUUCUGCUAUCACUAAGAGAUGGUCCCGCGGUGCAUUAGCUAGUUGGUAAGGUAAUGGCUUACCAAGGCGAUGAUGCAUAGCCGAGUUGAGAGACUGAUCGGCCACAAUGGGACUGAGACACGGCCCAUACUCCUACGGGAGGCAGCAGUAGGGAAUCUUCCACAAUGGGCGAAAGCCUGAUGGAGCAACGCCGCGUGUGUGAUGAAGGGUUUCGGCUCGUAAAACACUGUUGUAAGAGAAGAAUGACAUUGAGAGUAACUGUUCAAUGUGUGACGGUAUCUUACCAGAAAGGAACGGCUAAAUACGUGCCAGCAGCCGCGGUAAUACGUAUGUUCCAAGCGUUAUCCGGAUUUAUUGGGCGUAAAGCGAGCGCAGACGGUUAUUUAAGUCUGAAGUGAAAGCCCUCAGCUCAACUGAGGAAUUGCUUUGGAAACUGGAUGACUUGAGUGCAGUAGAGGAAAGUGGAACUCCAUGUGUAGCGGUGAAAUGCGUAGAUAUAUGGAAGAACACCAGUGGCGAARGCGGCUUUCUGGACUGUAACUGACGUUGAGGCUCGAAAGUGUGGGUAGCAAACAGGAUUAGAUACCCUGGUAGUCCACACCGUAAACGAUGAGUGCUAGGUGUUUGAGGGUUUCCGCCCUUAAGUGCCGCAGCUAACGCAUUAAGCACUCCGCCUGGGGAGUACGACCGCAAGGUUGAAACUCAAAGGAAUUGACGGGGACCCGCACAAGCGGUGGAGCAUGUGGUUUAAUUCGAAGCAACGCGAAGAACCUUACCAGGUCUUGACAUCCCUUGACAACUCCAGAGAUGGAGUGUUCCCUUCGGGGACAAGGUGACAGGUGGUGCAUGGUUGUCGUCAGCUCGUGUCGUGAGAUGUUGGGUUAAGUCCCGCAACGAGCGCAACCCUUAUUACUAGUUGCCAGCAUUCAGUUGGGCACUCUAGUGAGACUGCCGGUGACAAACCGGAGGAAGGUGGGGAUGACGUCAAAUCAUCAUGCCCCUUAUGACCUGGGCUACACACGUGCUACAAUGGCGUAUACAACGAGUUGCCAACCCGCGAGGGUGAGCUAAUCUCUUAAAGUACGUCUCAGUUCGGAUUGUAGGCUGCAACUCGCCUACAUGAAGUCGGAAUCGCUAGUAAUCGCGGAUCAGCACGCCGCGGUGAAUACGUUCCCGGGUCUUGUACACACCGCCCGUCACACCAUGAGAGUUUGUAACACCCAAAGCCGGUGGGGUAACCUUCGGGAGCCAGCCGUCUAAGGUGGGAC
rnacentral:rRNA from 1 species